GACGAACGCUGGCGGCGUGCUUAACACAUGCAAGUCGAACGGAAAGGCCCUGCUUUUGUGGGGUGCUCGAGUUGCGAACUGGUGAGUAACACGUGAGUAACCUACACUUGACCUUGGGAUAACUUCAGGAAACUGGAGCUAAUACCGGCUAGGAGUUCCUGCUUCAUGGUGGGGGUUGGAAAGUUUCGGCGGUUGGGGAUUGACUCGCGGCUUAUCAGCUUGUUGGUGGGGUAGUGGCUUACCAUGGCUUUGACGGGUAGCAGGGCUGGGAGGGUGAACGGCCACGUUGGGCCUGAGAUGAGGCACAGACUCGUACGGGAGGGAGCAGAGGAGUAGAUUGUACAAGGGAAGGGAGCCAAGUGCAGUAACGCCGUGUGGGGGAAGACGUGCAGCGGUUAGGAUUCCACAUUCGUCUUUCACGAAGCGAUAAUGACAGUAAUGGGUAAAUAAGCACCGGCUAACUACGUG
rnacentral:rRNA from 1 species